GAUGAACGCUAGCGGCAGGCUUAACACAUGCAAGUCGAGGGGUAUGGUUCUUCGGAACCAGAGACCGGCGCACGGGUGCGUAACGCGUAUGCAAUCUACCUUUUACAGAGGGAUAGCCCAGAGAAAUUUGGAUUAAUACCUCAUAGUAUUACGACUCGGCAUCGAGAUGUAAUUAAAGUCACAACGGUAAAAGAUGAGCAUGCGUCCCAUUAGCUUGUUAGUAAGGUAACGGCUUACCAAGGCAACGAUGGGUAGGGGUCCUGAGAGGGAGAUCCCCCACACUGGUACUGAGACACGGACCAGACUCCUACGGGAGGCAGCAGUGAGGAAUAUUGGUCAAUGGGCGCAAGCCUGAACCAGCCAUGCCGCGUGCAGGAUGAAGCAUCUAUGGUGUGUAAACUGCUUUUGUACGAGAAGAAACACUCCUUCGUGAAGGAGCUUGACGGUAUCGUAAGAAUAAGGACCGGCUAACUCCGUGCCAGCAGCCGCGGUAAUACGGAGGGUCCAAGCGUUAUCCGGAAUCAUUGGGUUUAAAGGGUCCGUAGGCGGUUUUGUAAGUCAGUGGUGAAAGCCCAUCGCUCAACGGUGGAACGGCCAUUGAUACUGCAAGACUUGAAUUAUUGGGAAGCAACUAGAAUAUGUAGUGUAGCGGUGAAAUGCUUAGAUAUUACAUGGAAUACCAAUUGCGAAGGCAGGUUGCUACCAAUACAUUGACGCUGAUGGACGAAAGCGUGGGGAGCGAACAGGAUUAGAUACCCUGGUAGUCCACGCCGUAAACGAUGGAUACUAGCUGUUGGGAGCGAUCUCAGUGGCUAAGCGAAAGUGAUAAGUAUCCCACUGGGGAGUACGUUCGCAAG
rnacentral:rRNA from 1 species